rnacentral:rRNA from 1 species
AGGGUUCGAUUCUGGCUCAGGACGAACGCUGGCGGCGUGCUUAACACAUGCAAGUCGAGCGAAGUGCUUACAACUGAUCCUUCGGGAUGACGAUGUAAGUAUCUUAGCGGCAAACGGGUGAGUAACGCGUGAGAGACCUGUCUUUCACAAAGGGAUAGCCUCGGGAAACCGGGAUUAAUACCUUAUGAUACUAAAGUAAUGCAUAUUACCUUAGUUAAAGUGUAAAACGGUGAUAGAGGGUCUCGCGUCCCAUUAGCUAGUUGGUGAGAUAAAAGCUUACCAAGGCAAUGAUGGGUAACCGGCCUGAGAGGGUGAACGGUCACACUGGAACUGAGACACGGUCCAGACUUCUACGGGAGGCAGCAGUGGGGAAUAUUGCACAAUGGAGGAAACUUCCUGAUGCAGCGACGUCGCGUGGACGAUGAAGGCUUUCGAGUCGUAAAGUUCUGUCUUUAGGGACGAUAAUGACGGUACCUAAAGAGGAAGCCCCGGCUAACUACGUGCCAGCCGCUGC